CAUGUACUUAUCUUCUCAAACUUCUUUUGAGCAUCUGAACGACUGGUUGCAUUUUGAAGAGACUUGACAUCUAAAAAAAUGGAGAACAAAGAAAUCAACAUAGUUAAGAUCAAAAUUAAAAUUACAAUUAAGGUUAAAAUAACGAAUGAAGGCGUGAUUAAGAAGAUGGAUGACACGGACAAGCAGCCCCAAUCGACACGGAGGGUGUCUGACAUGCCGAAGACUGGAAGAGAAGAAAACGACCGUGGCCAGAGGGUUCGUCCAUGCAGCGGGAGGGACAGGCUACCCACGCUGGAGGAAGAAGGAGCGACGAGGAAGAGGCCCCAGCUGAAGUACCUUCAUCGUACGGACAGCAACGGCUCCUGCCAUCUACGACCAGAGAGAGACCAGGGGCAGCGUCAGCGAUCCGCAGAGCAGCAACUCCUGCAACGAAUGCACGGACUCAUGGGUUAUGGCCGGAAACAUAGGACUGAUAGAGACAUUACUGGUGACGGACUUGUGGGUUAUGGCCGGGGACGGAGGGAUAAUAGCGAUGUUUUUGAUGGACUUGUGGGUUAUGGCCGGGGACGGAGGGAUAAUAGAGACACUGUUUAAGCAUUAUUAUAAAUAUAAGAUAGGAUAAGAUUAGAUAGGAUAAGAGGCUUAGAUGAAAUAUGUUAAGAUAGUCUAUCUUAUAUUUUAACUUAGCCUAAGUUAACAUAUGAUAAGCUAAGUUAAAAUAUCAUUAGAUAGGAUAAGUCAAAAUAUAAUAAGAUAGGUUGACAUAUAAGAUAGGCUAAGAUAGGAGAUUUACAAUAAAACAUAUACUUACUUUUUAAA